rnacentral:lncRNA from 1 species
CUUGGCCUUCCAAAGUACUGGGAUUAUAGUCAUGAACCACUGCGCCUGGCCUCGUGGUCAAAUUUUUAUGGACUCAUAAAAUUCACAUAGAUACAGGGUUAGUUAAGAUGUUGGGCUGCAGUUGACCCAAAUACUUGACUGAAAGUAACGUCAACAAUAGAAAUGUAUUCAUUAAAUAUAUAACAUGUAAUAAGAAGGCUGGAGAUGACAGUUCUAGGAUUGACAGCAGUUUAGCAGAGUCAGGGCUUUGGAUUGACUUCUCUUGAUCUUGCCUUCCCGGCAUAGUCACAGGAUGGCUCUACCAGCUUCAGUCAUAACUUCCUCAGAUAACUAUGUUCAAAAGCUUGAAGCAAGGAAAUGAGCUGCUUCUCUUCACGUCUCUCUUUUCAAGGGGAAACAAUAUGCUUCCUAGGAGACUCUAGCAGAUUUUUAGUUCCCAUUGGUCAGGUUACAUGGUCAUCCUUCAACUACAAGGGAGAAAGGGAACAAGUGUUUCUGGCAUUUUCUGCUACUAUAUUGAGAGCAAUAGACUGACUGCCUAUUCCUGUGAACCGACAAGUGAUCUCUGGCUGCAGCUCAGAAGAAACAAGGACGGCUGCUGCUUGCCUCUUCCUUUUCAUGCUACCAAAGCGGAGUUCAGCACAACAGAAACAGAUGGACAGAAAGUUUCAGAAGACAUGGGAUUUUAAAAACCACCGAUCUGUUAGGAAACAGCCUUGUUUCCUCAUUUCCACGGAACAAUACUGUUCUGCAGGAUGACCAAGUGAACACUGCAAUUACUGGGAGGUUUUAUAGACACCAUAAAAUUGUAAAACUGCAGAGGUGAUUUCAGUAAUUUAUUGCUGGCUUCUUCAGCUCCCAGACCAAGUUGUAUACAGACAUGAAGGUAAGCUUUCUUCAAUCCUGUGGACAAUGGCAACACCUCAGGAGAUGGUGAAGAAAUAAGAUGGUAGGACCUUGAGUCCCUGAAUGACUGUGUGGAGCAGCACUGCCCUUCCAGUUCUGUACACUCACCUCAGGACUACUUCAGGAGGGAAAUACAAACUCUAAUUGAAGGCAUUCUCUUUUCAUUGUCUCUUUGUUACAGCCACUAAAUCUGAAGUCUCAUACAACGUUCAAAGGCACAGGAAUGUGAAACAUCGCGUUAUGCUCAGGGAAAUCCUUGUGAGUGGAGCAUCGAUGAAUGAGUUAAGAAGCAGUGGGAGGUCGGGCCAGAAAUGUUGGAAAGGCAACAAUCAGUGUGGCUUCGUGUACAGGAAACUCAUGGCUGGGUUUGAUUUCUCAUAACAGAGCCACAAAUGGGCUGUGUACAGACAUCUUUGGUCUUAAUAGGCAUGGAAUGAGGUCUGUCCUCUUCUAGUCAUUUCUGCCUCAAAAACAAACAGCUAAGCAGCACUUUAUUGCUGGCAUCUAACAGCCUUGGUCCUGAAUCAUUGGCCAUGCACCAUGCCUCAAAGAAUCUCAGCUUCUCAUUUUGUGAUGCAUCUUCCAGUUGAUACCUCAGCUGGCCACUUGUACUUCCUGUCUGACCCAGCUGUCCUCAGUCAACAUCCAGCCUUGCCCACCCGGCCCUCUGCAGACUCUGCUUUGGUCCAGAGUUAGGGAGCACUCCCCCUGGGUCACCAUAGACCCUGGGCCAUAAUUUGGUGGAGCACUCCAGAAAUGUAAAACCUUUUGGUCAAAUCUGACAGGUAUUCUAUUUCCAGGACAAAAUUAAUGAGAGAAUUUCUUUUUCUAUACUGAACUUUACUGCCAUGUUGUUAAGGAACUUCCAUAUGCUUAACUUUCUACUGUAUUGGCUGUAGUUGACAAUUUGGAAAACAACUUACUUAAAGAAAAUAGGGGCUUUAAAAAUCCUAUUUCUAAUAAUCAAGAAAGAGGCAUUUUUUUCCUUUAACUUUCCUAUUAAACUUUUUAACCACCCCAGUUUCAAGAAUCUUCAACAUACAAUUAGAUCUUUUAUUAUUUGGUGAUGUUGGGUGUCAGCAAUCUGUGCUUCUACAAAUAAAGCU